GAGAAAGGAAGCUGAGUCGGACAUUUUUUCUGGGGGCAGAUUGAUUAAGGCAGCUUCUUAUUCCCUGAAGUUCCCCUUUACAUAUAUUCCCCUGCUGUAAUGUCCAUUUAUGGGGUACCUGUGCCCCUUACAGUUUGGAUCUUGUAGUCGCAGCCGCCUUGUCCUCAGGGGACCAUGGGUGACAGAAGAAGACAAUGGUUUCAAGCACCAUCCACUUUUUUUUGGUUCUGCCUGCUCUUAUAAUUCGGUCACCAUGACAGAGGGUCCUCCAUAAAAUUUUAUAUACAGUAUGUUCAGAACACUGGGAUUAGGCGGCCGGAGAAGUGACUUCACACCAUACCCCCUCCAUUCAUGUCUAUGAGACGACUCCUCGAAGACGGACUGAAGUUCUGCCCACAGGGACAACCACACGCUCUCACCGCACACUCACACAAAUAAAUAUUACUUCACUUUUU